rnacentral:lncRNA from 1 species
GUGCCUGUUGUAAACAGAUACUAGCAAGUACGGGUCGAAUCCACAGGGAGACAAGUUUCAAGAAUCUUAAUCUGACUAUUGCAAAUUGUUUCACAAGACAAACAAAUAUUUAAGAAUUUUUUACUAACUAAAUAAAGCAAUGCAAAGAUGAUUUAAAUCAAUUAACUAAAGUCUAGGACAAUUCAGGUUCACCAUGCUUACACCAAAACUAGCUAUUCAUAUAAUAAUUCAACAAGUCAUGUAAUUAGAGCAAUUGUUAAUCUCUCUCAAGCAUUAACACUCUCAGGAAUCCAUUGAUGCUCUCGCACUCAAUUUCA